UACGUAGGGCGCAAGCGUUGUCCGGAUUUAUUGGGCGUAAAGAGCGUGUAGGCGGCCUGCAAGGUCAGCUGUGAAAACUCGAGGCUCAACCUCGAGACGUCGGUUGAAACCAUCUGGCUAGAGUCCGGAAGAGGAGUGUGGAAUUCCCGGUGUAGCGGUGAAAUGCGCAGAUAUCGGGAAGAACACCCGUGGCGAAGGCGGCACUCUGGGACGGUACUGACGCUGAGACGCGAAAGCGUGGGGAGCGAACAGG
rnacentral:rRNA from 1 species